rnacentral:rRNA from 1 species
UGGGGAAUAUUGGACAAUGGGCGAAAGCCUGAUCCAGCAAUGCCGCGUGAGUGAAGAAGGCCUUCGGGUUGUAAAGCUCUUUUACCCGGGAAGAUAAUGACUGUACCGGGAGAAUAAGCUCCGGCUAACUCCGUGCCAGCAGCCGCGGUAAUACGGAGGGAGCUAGCGUUGUUCGGAAUUACUGGGCGUAAAGCGUACGUAGGCGGCUUUGUAAGUCAGAGGUGAAAGCCCACGACUCAAUCGUGGAACUGCCUUUGAGACUGCUUCGCUUGAAGAUGGGAGAGGUUAGUGGAAUUCCGAGUGUAGAGGUGAAAUUCGUAGAUAUUAGGAGGAACACCAGUUGCGAAGGCGGCUCUCUGGACUGUAACUGACACUGAGGCACGAAAGCGUGGGGAGCAAACA